GUGGGGAAUAUUGGGCAAUGGGCGAAAGCCUGACCCAGCAACGCCGCGUGAAGGAAGAAGGUUUUCGGAUCGUAAACUUCUAUCCUUGGUGAAGAUAAUGACGGUAGCCAAGAAGGAAGCCCCGGCUAACUACGUGCCAGCAGCCGCGGUAAUACGUAGGGGGCAAGCGUUGUCCGGAAUGAUUGGGCGUAAAUGGCGCGUAGGCGGCCUGGUAAGUCUGGAGUGAAAGUCCUGCUUUUAAGGUGGGAAUUGCUUUGGAUACUGUCGGGCUUGAGUGCAGGAGAGGUAAGUGGAAUUCCCGGUGUAGCGGUGAAAUGCGUAGAGAUCGGGAGGAACACCAGUGGCGAAGGCGACUUACUGGACUGUAACUGACGCUGAGGCGCGAAAGUGUGGGGAGCAAACAGGAUUAGAAACCCUGGUAGUCC
rnacentral:rRNA from 1 species